GCCUCCUUCCUGGUUGUUAGUUGGGAGGCUGCCUAGCCAGGCGGCGAAUUGUUGGCGCUGGAGAUCGUGCGCGCAAAACGAAGGCGGGCCGGGGAGUGCUGUGGCGGGAUUCCGUCUAGGGGUAGUUGGCAGCUGCUCCCUCAGUUUCCCCCCCACUUCUUUUUCGCUUGAAACCACAAAGCGCUUUGUUUGAACUUUUCAUGGAAUCCAGCCCAGGUUGUAACAGGACAUUGAAGAAACAGAGCUAAAGAGGACAUUCUGAAACCAGAAGAGAUGUUGCUAUGAGGAAAGACAUCAGAGAUGACUGAUGUUGAGCCUGUAGUCACAGAUUUUGCUGCAUCAGGACGGGCUGGACGCCGAAAUGCCUUACCAGACAUUCUGGGUUCUUCUGCUGGAGCUGGAACAUCAGAACUGCCACACAAAUUAGCAGAACUCUCAAUGUCAGAUGGAGCUGAAGGAGGAGAAGCGUCAUCCUCUGGUGCCAUUAUGGACAACCAAGAGAUGGAAGAAAAAACAAUGGAUUCCUAAUGUUUAUAAAAUGAUUGGUUUGGGUGAUCAUCUAUGAACUUCACUGCCAGACUGUCCAAGACUCUGAAAUAUGUAAUAUUUGUAGCUGGCUAAUAUGAAUAUGUUGAAAAAAUAGUUAUGUUCUCAAAUUCACCAAGAAGCAAUUUAUUUAUUUACAAAUCAUAACCAGUACCUGCAGAAAAAAAAAAGAAUUGUUUUCAGUCAUUUAACAAAUGAAGUCCAACAUAAUCAGCUGAUUAGUGCAAAUAACCAAAUACAACAACAAACAUCAUGAAUAACUUGGGAUCUUUUCUGAUAAUAAACUUAAAAUGUAGAUAUUAGCUUUGGUUUGAGCUUAGUAUAUAUGUGUACAUACAUGCGCAUGCACACAAACACACAUUUUAUACAUAGAAUAGUAUACAAAAGUACAUAUCAAAAUCAGUAAUUCUAGACCCAGAAUAGAAAAACUUUAUGUAAGA